rnacentral:rRNA from 1 species
CUGUGCUGACGAGUGGCGGACGGGCGAGUAACGCGUGGGAAUCUACCCAGAAGUUCGGGACAACCUGGUGAAAACCAGGCUAAUACCGGAUAAUGUCUACGGAUGAAAGGAGGGGAUCUUCGGACCUUCCGCUUUUGGAUGAGCCCGCGUUAGAUUAGCUAGUUGGUGGGGUAAAGGCCUACCAAGGCGACGAUCUAUAGCUGGUCUGAGAGGAUGAUCAGCCACACUGGGACUGAGACACGGCUCAGACUCCUACGGGAGGCAGCAGUGGGGAAUAUUGGACAAUGGGGGCAACCCUGAUCCAGCAAUACCGCGUGUGUGAAGAAGGCCUGAGGGUUGUAAAGCACUUUCAAUUGUGAAGAAAAGUUGCGGGUUAAUAACCUGUGACCUUGACGUUAACUUUAGAAGAAGCACCGGCUAACUCCGUGCCAGCAGCCGCGGUAAUACGGAGGGUGCGAGCGUUAAUCGGAAUUACUGGGCGUAAAGCGUGCGUAGGCGGUUAUUUAAGUCAGAUGUGAAAGCCCAGGGCUCAACCUUGGAACUGCAUUUGAAACUGGGUAACUAGAGUUUGGUAGAGGUGAGUAGAAUUCCUAGUGUAGCGGUG